rnacentral:lncRNA from 1 species
UUCUUUUUUUUUUUUUAGAGUUGCUCACAGUUUGCCCAGAAAAGCCAAGUUUAAUGGUCUGUACAUCUGUUCAGUCUCCUAGAGUCCUUAUUAAAAUCAGCAUCACAUUCCAGCUCCCAUUCCUGUUAACCUUUUUAACAACAGGGCUGGCUAUGCCUCCCGGGAGCCUGGCAACCAGAGAAAGCAAGGAUGUUCUGGCUGUACCGUUUUUAUAUCUUCUGCAACAGGCCUCCAAGUAACUGAGAGGCAUGAGCCAAAGAAAUUUAGUUUACUGUUACAUGGAGAACAGCCUCCAAGUGAAAGACAACCAACCAUAGGUCUACUUUGAGCAAAGGGGAAUAAAAGCAGUCUAAUAUAGAAAUAUCUGUUUUCCCUGCUGUUUCUAAGUUCCUAGAAUACAUGCAAAUGUAAUGUCAACAAACUUACAACAUCAGAUACAACAAUGCAAGCGGAUCAGCCUCAUUACAGCAAUGAAGCUACAGCUAUUUCAGUCACUUAUGAAAGGUGGAUACAUCAUCUUACCUUUCCAGACUGACUUCAUAGGAUGGAGAGUGAGUAAGAAACAUUUUAAGAUUGCCAGCUGAAAAGAUUUGAGAUGGAAUCUUCUCAAAGGUAGUAAAUUCAAGAUCCUAUGGUAUUCAGUUUAGCUCAUAAAUCUCCCUUCAUGAGCUAUCACCUGCAUAUUUGCUUGGAACAAAAUAAUCUCAUUUGACUCCCACCCGCUAAGCUGGGUCCAGAAACGCAAAGCAGCUCUAAAACAUAAAGCAGUGAAGAGUUCUAUGUGAAGGAAAUACGGCCAGUGAAAGGUGAUACAAAGAUCUGAAAAGGUGCUGUUGAAAUUAUCAGAUCCUCACCUGUAAGUGGCCUACGUAAGUCUCUGGUUUAAUAGUUGGCAGCCUGAGAAGGAGGGUGAAGCCUAGAGGCAAUAUGGAGCCAUUUUUUGCCUUUCUUCCUGAUGCUGCAGAUCAUAUGCAUCUCCAGAGAAAUUAUUACAGCUGUUAUGGCCUUCCUUACUUAUGCAGUAUGGAAUAUAUUACGAAAGAUUUGCCAUACUCCCAAACUUAGGACCUACACAGGAAAAAAAAGUGAAAAUUAAAACCACAAAUCAUUAACACCCUGAACACUGAUGUGUGUGCGUGUGCUUUUAACACUGCGGCGUUCUAUUUGGAAUUCACUAUUUUACAGCAAAUAAAGUCUCUGACCCUUUUAAAAAUAAUUUCUUUAAUCUUCAGGGGAAGAAGCUAUAAACAUCUUGACUACCAAUGAAUUUCUAGGACUUUGAGUGUUUUCUGUUGGAUUUUUUAAAUGUGACUACACAAAAGCAACAGCACUUAACAUUACUCUCUAUAGCAGCCUGCUUUGCUGGGGGAGGCACUUUGGCAGUUCUCUUCC